UACGGGGGGGGUAAGCGUUGUUCGGAAUUACUGGGCGUAAAGGGCUCGUAGGCGGCCAACUAAGUCGGACGUGAAAUCCCUCAGCUUAACUGGGGAACUGCGUCCGAUACUGGAUGGCUUGGAUUUGGGAGAGGGAUGCGGAAUUCCAGGUGUAGCGGUGAAAUGCGUAGAUAUCUGGAGGAACACCGGUGGCGAAGGCAGCUCGCUGGGACGGUACUGACGCUGAGGCGCGAAAGCGUGGGGAGCGAACAGG
rnacentral:rRNA from 1 species